rnacentral:rRNA from 1 species
CCUACGGGAGGCUGCAGUGGGGAAUAUUGGGCAAUGGGCGCAAGCCUGACCCAGCAACGCCGCGUGAAGGAAGAAGGCUUUCGGGUUGUAAACUUCUUUUCUGAGGGACGAAGAAAGUGACGGUACCUCAGGAAUAAGCUACGGCUAACUACGUGCCAGCAGCCGCGGUAAUCCGUCGGUGGCAAGCGUUAUCCGGAUUCAUUGGGUGUAAAGGGCGUGUAGGCGGGAAAGCAAGCCAGAUGUGAAAACUCAGGGCUCAACCCUGAGCCUGCAUUUGAAACUGUUUUUCUUGAGUGCUGGAGAGGCAAGCGGAAUUCCUGGUGUAGCGGUGAAAUGCGUAGAUAUACGGAGGAACACCAGUGGCGAAGGCGGAUUGCUGGAGAGUAACUGACGCUGAGGCGCGAAAGCGUGGGGAGCAAACAGGAUUAGAUACCCGGGUAGUC